AGUAUUGUGUAAAUUGGACUACAAUCAUCAUGCCAUCAAGAAUUUUAAAGCAAAAUUACUUUUCCAUGAAAGCCAUUUUUUGUUUUAAAUGCAAAAUUUUAUUUCUCUUACUUGAGAAAAAGUUACAAUUUGAACAACAAAUUGACAAAGAAUAGUUACAAUUUGAAUGAAUAUAAUCAUGCAAACAAAGACUAUUCGGUGUUUCGCUGGAGCGCUGCAUUGCACACGAAGACAGCUUUGGUGCGGGUAGGUUUGAGUUUGCUGCUACCAGAGUUCUUCAGUUUUUAUACGAACAUUGUUACUGUGACGCUCUGAAUGUGGUAUUUAUUGGAAUUGCAUUUGGCACGAAUAGAUUUAUUAAGCGGCAUCAAGAUGAAAUCACAUGAAGGCCACAAGAUAUCAUAUCACGGAAAUUGUUGAUUGUCGAAUGGCCAAGUAUCGAGUGAAAAUUGCACACUGACCCCUUCACCGGCAAUCGCUCUGAAAAUAAUUUAAAAAGUCGCAACAAAUACGCAAUGUUAAAACUGUCGACGAUUCUUCGUAAUUUCCGCGUCCAUCAGCGAUUCAACUGAAAAGGACUUCAGGCUUCAGGCAUGAACAUUUUCUCAAAUUUUACAUGUUGUAUAUAUAUAUAUAUUUAUGUGCUUGUAUCAUUAUAUUAUAUACCCUUCAUAUUACAUCUUGUAUAUAUAUGCUUUGGUUCCGGUUACACCUUCAAUGUUCUGACGGAACUUCCGGGUUUUGAAAGUGCCAUUAUCAGACAAAAACUUUUGUAACAACUUUUUGUAAAAAAAAAACACUUGAAGAAGUGAAUUAUGCACUUUAUGCAAAAAAUCAAAUAAUGUAAAUGUG